rnacentral:rRNA from 1 species
AUUGAACGCUGGCGGCAGGCCUAACACAUGCAAGUCGAACGGUAACAGGAAGCAGCUUGCUGCUUUGCUGACGAGUGGCGGACGGGUGAGUAAUGUCUGGGAAACUGCCUGAUGGAGGGGGAUAACUACUGGAAACGGUAGCUAAUACCGCAUAACGUCGCAAGACCAAGGAGGGGGACCUUAGGGCCUCUUGCCAUCGGAUGUGCCCAGAUGGGAUUAGCUAGUAGGUGGGGUAACGGCUCACCUAGGCGACGAUCCCUAGCUGGUCUGAGAGGAUGACCAGCCACACUGGAACUGAGACACGGUCCAGACUCCUACGGGAGGCAGCAGUGGGGAAUAUUGCACAAUGGGCGCAAGCCUGAUGCAGCCAUGCCGCGUGUAUGAAGAAGGCCUUCGGGUUGUAAAGUACUUUCAGCGGGGAGGAAGGGAGUAAAGUUAAUACCUUUGCUCAUUGACGUUACCCGCAGAAGAAGCACCGGCUAACUCCGUG